rnacentral:rRNA from 1 species
GUCAGUGUCUCUAACGCAGAGGGUCCACCCGUUCCCAUUCCGAACACGGAAGUUAAGCUCUGCAGUGCCGAAGAUACUUGUCCGGCGACGGACCGGGAAAACAGGUCGAUGCUGACA